rnacentral:pre_miRNA from 1 species
AGUUUUCUGUAUCCGUGCUGAAAUUUCGUAAUAUACCAGACCACAAAAACUGAUGAGACUUCCAAGAUAAGUAAAGUU